rnacentral:rRNA from 1 species
UACGUAGGGGGCAAGCGUUGUUCGGAAUUACGGGGCGUAAAGGGCGCGUAGGCGGCACAGCAAGUCGGGAGUGAAAGCCCGGGGCUCAACCCCGGAACUGCUUUCGAAACUGCUGAGCUAGAGUGCGGAAGAGGCAACUGGAAUUCCCAGUGUAGCGGUGAAAUGCGUAGAUAUUGGGAAGAACACCGGAGGCGAAGGCGGGUUGCUGGGCCGACACUGACGCUGAGGCGCGAAAGCCAGGGGAGCGAACGGG